rnacentral:rRNA from 1 species
GACGAACGCUGGCGGCGUGCCUAAUACAUGCAAGUCGAACGCAGUGGGGACGGGUGAGUAACACGUGGGUAACCUCCAAUCAGAGGGGAUAACACUUGGAAACAGGUGCUAAACAGAUAUUGAAGGAUGGACACGCGGUGAAUUAGCUAGUUGGUGGGGUAACGGCGCAGCAAGGCCACGAUGCAUAGCCGCCCUUAGAGGGGGAUCGGCCACACUGGGACUGAGACACGGCCCAGACUCCUACGCGAGGCAGCAGUAGGGAAUCUUCGGCAAUGGACGAAAGUCUGACCGAGCAACGCCGCGUGAGUGAAGAAGGUUUUCGGAUCGUAAAACUCUGUUGUUAGAGAAGCGGUAUCUAACCAGAAAGCCACGGCUAACUACGUGCCAGCCGCCGCGGUAAUUC